UGAGGAAUAUUGGUCAAUGGGCGAGAGCCUGAACCAGCCAAAUCGCGUGAAGGAAGACUGCCUUAUGGGUUGUAAACUUCUUUUAUACAGGAAUAAAAAAGGGGACGUGUCCCUUAUUGCAUGUACUGUAUGAAUAAGCAUCGGCUAACUCCGUGCCAGCAGCCGCGGUAAUACGGAGGAUGCGAGCGUUAUCCGGAUUUAUUGGGUUUAAAGGGUGCGCAGGCGGGCUUUUAAGUCAGCGGUGAAAUCUCGGGGCUUAACUCCGAAACUGCCGUUGAAACUGGGAGUCUUGAGUAUGGAUGAAGUAGGCGGAAUUCGUUGUGUAGCGGUGACAUGCUUAGAUAUAACGAGGAACUCCGAUUGCGUAGGCAGCUUACUAAGCCAUAACUGACGCUCAAGCACGAAAGCGUGGGGAUCAAACAGGAUUAGAUACCCCUGGUAGUCCACGCCGUAAACGAUGAUUACUAGUUGUAUGCGAUAUACCGUAUGUGACUAAGCGAAAGCGAUAAGUAAUCCACCUGGGGAGUACGCCGGCAACGGUGAAACUUAAAGGAAUUGACGGGGGUCAUAGCUG
rnacentral:rRNA from 1 species